CUGUGUUUGUUGGAGCCUGAUGCUGUACGUCAGUUUCUGCAGGGAUGGCGAGCUUCAGAGCAGACUACCUGGACUGGGCCCUUGGCUUGCUCCUCCUGACUCCAGAUGUCUCCUCCUGUUCUCCCACAGCCAAAGAGGAAGCUGUUUAUCAUGGAGGUUAUGAGCACAGAGCUUAGCUUCACCAUCUAUUGGCUCUGUGGCCUUGGGGAAGGCUUCCUCUGUGGCUUGGCUUGUUGUGUGAGGAGCAGGAGGGACAGAAUCAGCAGGAGGUGGUUACCCGUGGCACAAGAGAGGCCUUCCAGAGCACACAGGAGAGGCCCAAGAAAGACAAAGAUGCCAGUAAGAAGAGCACGGGAGACCAACCCAGACUUCUAGUAAACAAGUGCUCAGACUACUUGGGCAACUUUCAGUGUAAACUCAAACACG